AGUGGGGAAUAUUGGACAAUGGGCGAAAGCCUGAUCCAGCCAUGCCGCGUGAGUGAUGAAGGCCCUAGGGUUGUAAAGCUCUUUCACCGGUGAAGAUAAUGACGGUAACCGGAGAAGAAGCCCCGGCUAACUUCGUGCCAGCAGCCGCGGUAAUACGAAGGGGGCUAGCGUUGUUCGGAAUUACUGGGCGUAAAGCGCACGUAGGCGGAUUGUUAAGUCGGGGGUGAAAUCCCGGGGCUCAACCCCGGAACUGCCUUCGAUACUGGCAAUCUCGAGUCCGAGAGAGGUGAGUGGAAUUCCGAGUGUAGAGGUGAAAUUCGUAGAUAUUCGGAGGAACACCAGUGGCGAAGGCGGCUCACUGGCUCGGUACUGACGCUGAGGUGCGAAAGCGUGGGGAGCAAA
rnacentral:rRNA from 1 species